AACGCUGGCGGCGUGCCUAAUACAUGCAAGUCGAACGGUCUUUCUAUGGAAGCUUGCUCCACUGAGAAGAUAGUGGCGAACGGGUGAGUAACACGUGGGUAACCUGCCCAUAAGAGGGGGGAUAACAUCCGGAAACGGGUGCUAAUACCGCAUAGUUUUCUUGAUCGCAUGAUCGGGAAAGGAAAGACGGCCUUUGUGCUGUCGCUUAUGGAUGGACCCGCGGCGUAUUAGUUAGUUGGUGAGGUAACGGCUCACCAAGACGAUGAUACGUAGCCGACCUGAGAGGGUGAUCGGCCACAUUGGGACUGAGACACGGCCCAAACUCCUACGGGAGGCAGCAGUAGGGAAUCUUCCGCAAUGGACGAAAGUCUGACGGAGCAACGCCGCGUGAGUGAAGUAAAAGGGUUUUCGGAUCGUAAAACUCUGUUGUCAGAGAAGAACAAGUUGGAGAGUAACUGCUCCAGCCUUGACGGUAUCUGACCAGAAAGCCACGGCUAACUACGUGCCAGCAGCGGC
rnacentral:rRNA from 1 species